rnacentral:lncRNA from 1 species
CAAGGAUCGGGGAAAUGAUGAUCAUGUGCACUUUCAUUUUUUGUAGACUCAGCUUUAUUAUCCUAAUGAAAUAUCACACAGUCCCCCACCAGGAUGGUAAUCAUCAUCAUCACCAGUAUCAUAAUCAUCUCCCUUUCAGGAAGAAGGACCAAAUGGGAGAAGAUAAGGGUACAGAGAAAAGGACACAGCAUAGCAAGAAGAAAUGGAAUGAGAACUUUUGGUGCAGAUUGAGAGAGGAUGUUUUGCUCAUCUCAAGAGAGUAGGAGGUCAUGUAAGAACAGAAAGGAGGGAAGAGGGGUUAUCCAAUUGUACACAUCUCUUGAUCCUGACAGCUGCCG